rnacentral:ncRNA from 1 species
UCGAAGGUGGGACCAGCGAUUGGGACGAAGUCGUAACAAGGUAGCCGUACCGGAAGGUGCGGCUGGAUCACCUCCUUU